rnacentral:rRNA from 1 species
CAGUAGCCGCGGGAAUACGUAGGGUGCAAGCGUUAAUCGGAAUUACUGGGCGUAAAGCGUGCGCAGGCGGUUCGUUAAGACAGAUGUGAAAUCCCCGGGCUUAACCUGGGAACUGCAUUUGUGACUGUCGGGCUAGAGUAUGGCAGAGGGGGGUAGAAUUCCACGUGUAGCAGUGAAAUGCGUAGAGAUGUGGAGGAAUACCGAUGGCGAAGGCAGCCCCCUGGGCCAAUACUGACGCUCAUGCACGAAAGCGUGGGGAGCAAACAGGAUUAGAUACCCCGGUAGUCCCUGUCUCUUAUAC